rnacentral:rRNA from 1 species
CAGCACCUCAAGUGGUCAGGAUGAUUAUUGGGCCUAAAGCAUCCGUAGCCGGCGCUGUAAGUUUUCGGUUAAAUCUGUACGCUCAACGUACAGGCUGCCGGGAAUACUGCAGCGCUAGGGAGUGGGAGAGGUAGACGGUACUCGGUAGGAAGGGGUAAAAUCCUUUGAUCUAUUAAUGACCACCUGUGGCGAAGGCGGUCUACCAGAACACGUCCGACGGUGAGGGAUGAAAGCUGGGGGAGCAAACCGGAUUAGAUACCCGAGUAGUCC